rnacentral:tRNA from 1 species
GAUUUUGCUAGGGGCGAAAAUCGACCUCUUUGCAGCCAAGCCGUUGAAUUCACUAUGUUCGCACGGGCCUGCAAAUCCGUGCACCCCGGUUCGAUUCCGGGCCGGGCCUCCA